UACCAGCACCCCGAGUUGUCGGGACGAUUAUUGGGCCUAAAGCAUCCGUAGCCUGUUCUGCAAGUCCUCCGUUAAAUCCACCUGCUCAACGGAUGGGCUGCGGAGGAUACCGCAGAGCUAGGAGGCGGGAGAGGCAAACGGUACUCAGUGGGUAGGGGUAAAAUCCAUUGAUCCAUUGAAGACCACCAGUGGCGAAGGCGGCUUGCCAGAAUGCGCUCGACGGUGAGGGAUGAAAGCUGGGGGAGCAAACCGG
rnacentral:rRNA from 1 species